ACAAGUUAGUCUUCGCUCAAAGCCUUUCGUUGAUCAUGGAAGAUGAUCCAGAGCCUGACACAGAAUUACAUUUCUUUCAAAAUUUUCAAUGUUACUUAAAAAUGGAUGGUAUAGGGAAAGCAAAGGCUAAACUAGCGCUCCAGUCUUGCAAUAACAUCAUUGGAGCUGUUCUCAGUUCUUGCCAUUGGAGUAAUUUGAGCCAAUGUCAAAAAAGACAUCGGAGCAAAAAGUCUCCAUUUUAAAUGCUUCUUUAAAUGGUGAAGAGCAAUAGAUCGAGGUUGUGUUGCUGAAGAGAUUAGAGCAAAUCAUGUUGUGGGAUGUCCAUGUCUGUAUGUUUCUAGCUUCAGUUGGCACAACACAGUUUCUCGACAAGUCCAUCAAGAUUGUUUGGAUGAGUCCAAGCUCAGUUGAUUCAUCAGAAGAGCAAUAUGAAGAGAAGUUCAGUUACCGCUAGUCAACAAGAAACCAUGCAUGAUCAGGCCGAAGGAUUUGAUCAUGAAUUUCUUCACCUUGAGCUGAUCUGGCAAGAUGAGUUAUCAGGCCUUUUAAGGGAGUACGCUGAUAAUGCUUUCAAAGAGAGCUGAUGUGUUGUGUUUGGGAACAUGGUUGAGCUUGGAGAUUCAUCCAACAACUCAGAUGGGAUUUGUCAGGGACUGUGUAGUUAGCUGAAGUGAGGGGAUACUGAUGCAUGAUCCUGCAGCCUUUUGGCCUCUUGAUCUUUUGCUACUUCAUCAUUUGAGAAGAACUAGCCAUUGAAUCAUGUGCAAUAGACUCCUCAGUAAGUGAAUGAUUGGGUCAUACUCUUGCAUGAUUCUCAAAAUUCGAUUGAUAUUGCUGCUAUGAUUCAACAUGCCUUUCCAGCCAUUUUCGGAUGCUGGAAACUUAUCUACCCAAAGAUCUCUAUGACUAAUUAGUUUUCUCCUAACUUUUUACAACCAUACAACCAAGUUAAAUGGUAGGUCUAACUCUAUGGUGCACAUGCAAAAGCAAAAUUCCAAUCAAUUGAAAAGGAAGACAUCAGAAAAAAAGUCAGAGUUGGGAAGAAAAGAUGUCAGGACCAUAUUAUCAAUGAAAAUUUUCCUUAAAAAAUUUCUUUUAUUGUUACUUUAAGGUUAUUGGGUUGCAUUAGAAUCAAAACUGUGUAAAAUUAAAGUUGUUAUCACUUACUUUUUGGACUUCAAACACAAUGUUUUAAGAACAGUAUUCUAAUUACAAUUGCAAACUAGAUUCU